GAUGAACGCUGGCGGCGUGCCUAAUACAUGCAAGUCGAGCGAACAGACGAGGAGCUUGCUCCUCUGACGUUAGCGGCGGACGGGUGAGUAACACGUGGAUAACCUACCUAUAAGACUGGGAUAACUUCGGGAAACCGGAGCUAAUACCGGAUAACAUGUUGAACCGCAUGGUUCAACAGUGAAAGACGGUCUUGCUGUCACUUAUAGAUGGAUCCGCGCCGCAUUAGCUAGUUGGUAAGGUAACGGCUUACCAAGGCAACGAUGCGUAGCCGACCUGAGAGGGUGAUCGGCCACACUGGAACUGAGACACGGUCCAGACUCCUACGGGAGGCAGCAGUAGGGAAUCUUACGCAAUGGGCGAAAGCCUGACGGAGCAACGCCGCGUGAGUGAAGAAGGUCUUCGGAUCGUAAAACUCUGUUAUUAGGGAAGACCAAAUGUGUAAGUAACUAUGCACGUCUUGACGGUACCUAAUCAGAAAGCCACGGCUAACUACGUG
rnacentral:rRNA from 1 species